rnacentral:rRNA from 1 species
CCUACGGGCCGCACCAGUGGGGAAUAUUGCACACUGGGCGCAAGCCUGAUGCAGCCAUGCCGCGUGUGUGAAGAAGGCCUUCGGGUUGUAAAGCACUUUCAGCGGGGAGGAAGGCGUUAAGGUUAAUAACCUUGGCGAUUGACGUUACCCGCAGAAGAAGCACCGGCUAACUCCGUGCCAGCAGCCGCGGUAAUACGGAGGGUGCAAGCGUUAAUCGGAAUUACUGGGCGUAAAGCGCACGCAGGCGGUCUGUCAAGUCGGAUGUGAAAUCCCCGGGCUCAACCUGGGAACUGCAUUCGAAACUGGCAGGCUAGAGUCUUGUAGAGGGGGGUAGAAUUCCAGGUGUAGCGGUGAAAUGCGUAGAGAUCUGGAGGAAUACCGGUGGCGAAGGCGGCCCCCUGGACAAAGACUGACGCUCAGGUGCGAAAGCGUGGGGAGCAAACAGGAUUAGAUACCCGCGUAG